AUAGAGGUAUGUAGUAUCUUUUCCUCAGCUAUUCAUCAUCAGUGAGUACACAGCACAACUUGAAGUUGUCUUCAUGUCUCAGGUUUUCAUGCAGAAUUUUUAGACCUCGUAGCACCGGAAUACAUUUCAUUUGGGGUGCUCAUACAGCAGUGGACUGCAGCAGUUGUGGUGAAGUCCUAGUGUGCAAAUCCUGAAGAGAUACAAAUGUUCUCUUAUCAGCAACUCUGAUUAGUAUGUCGGAGCUGCAGAGACUAAAGUCAUGAAGAGCAUCAGACAAAAGUUGGUAAAGGUGGAUUCAGCGUCCAAAACAGAACAACAACAGUAAUAAAGACUGGCAACACCACAAGGCAGAGUGUAACAGUUUACAGAAACUAGAAGAAGAGUGGAGGCGCCAGGAGGAGGAGGCAGCAAAGAAGUCACAAUUACAGAAAGCAGCACAAGAACAUAUUUGGCAGCAGCAGGAGGAUUACAACAGAAAGCUUCUGCAGUUCCAGAAGAAGAGACAGCUAGAGGAACAAGAAUGAACAGGUGGUCUACAGAGAGGCUAAUGCUUACUUUAGCUGCAGAUAAUUCAUCUGAAUGGAUGAUUUCCAGUGAAGGCAUAGAUUUAGCCUGUGCAUCUGCCAUGGCAUUCCUGUGACACUAAGUCCCAAAUUUGAAGUACCUCAGCUGCUCCUCCUCUAUUAAUUAGAUAUGGUAACAAUAGUCCUCUCUUCCAUAGUCCCUGCAGCCUGAAGAAGAGAAAUUCCACAGCCUAGCUACAAUGCAACUGUGCAAGAUGCUAGCAAUAACAGUCAUGCUACAUCAUUUCUUCAUGUUUGCACUAUGUAUCUUUUCUGAAAGCCUGAGUCCCAGUAGCUAUGCAGUUUAAAAAAAAAAAAAAAAAGCCUCUACUUCUAACAAAUAGUUAGAGGAAGGCUUGAAAACCUAAAUGCCAAGCAGAUUUAAAAAAAAUCCAACUACAAUUUAAGACAAACUCAUGUGUUUGAGACAAUAUUAAAUACUUAUAACAUCAGUAUUAUAACAGUAUUUUCUAUUUGUAAUUGAUGAAAAAAAGAUUUCCUAAAUAGCAAGUAUGUGAGCAACUGAUAGUUGUUGGUGAUCUGCUUCUAAGAGGCAGAAAAAUGGAGGCAAAAAGGAACAAUGUGGUUAGAGGAGGAACACCAGCAGCUGGUGGAGAUGGCAGAAGAACACCUGGAGUGUAAAAGAAGAAACUCUGAGAAGACAAGAUAUGAGGCUGAGGAGCAGAUGAAGAAAGAGGAAGAUGGUAGACUAACUCUAGAGGAAGCCAAAACACAAGCAGAGCUUUUAAUCAGGUACAUAGCUAUUAAUCAAAGAGUUAUUUCUUUUCCUCAGUAAUAAUAAUACAUCUUUACACCUAGUGCCAGACUAUACAAAAAUACUUCCGUAGUCAGUUCUAUCAGUGUAGUUAACAUUGAAGAGCAGCAUCUGUACCUCAGGAGUUAGUUAAGCCGCCUUCAAUUCAAACGCCAAGACACAAUGCAGUUCUUUUGCUAUUUAACCAGUUUUCCAAUGAUUCCCCAAAUUCCAUCGACAAUUCAUGUACAUCUUAUCUGUAUUCUUUAACUGUUUUAAACAUUCCCUUACACUACAGAAAGAAACCCAACUAGAUUUCCCCGCACAUCUGAAACUAUAACUACAUUUACACAGUCCAUUGGAGUAGACUCCAGUAUAGCAUGCUUCCAGAAUUCAUUCCUACCAGCACCUCAGAACACAGGAAAUGGAAGUCUGCACACCACAUACUAAAACACUGCAAAUAACAUAACAGACCUUCUUAAGGGAAGCCUAGAUCAAUUUGUCAGGCACAAAGAAGUACUAGGUAUAAAAGGAUACAUGGGACCUACAGCUGAGCAGGAAUAACUAUCUCCUGCUUGCUCUAUUCAUACUGUUGCAACAGGAGAACAUACUGGCCCACAAGAAGGCAUUAGCAUAAGCCAACAUUUUCUUCCCCAACCCAUUCCAAACCUUACUCAAAGCCAGCUCCCGGGGGAAGUCCAAUCUCCUGUCCAGGCUCAGUGCCUCAGAAGGCACUGCACGCACUGUGGCAAAGUCAAAGAAACUGCCAGUGAACCAGCAACGAGCUGAGUGUGUAGGUUUCAAGUCAAAGCACCAGCUUUCUAACCCAAGGAGGAAUUCUGUUCUAUGUCUGCAAUCCACUUUAUUAACACUGUUUGCAGACAAAGAGCUGAUCUGGAACAACAUCUGCAACUCCAACAAGCACUACUAAUAGAAGCUACCAGACUAGAACACAUUCAAGAUGCUCGUUGUCCAUGGGUGUUUUCUUAUUUUCAGCUGCUUGAAAAAACUAGGCCUGAAAACCAUACAAAACAAUAAAUAAAUGCUUUGUGCCAGGAAUGGGUCAUUGUAGUG